AAAACUCACCAGGUCAGGACACGGUAAGGAUUGACGGACUGAAGGCUCUUUCUCGAUUCCGUGGAAAGUGGUGCAUGGCCGUUUUUGGUUGGUGGAUCGAUCCGUCUGGUUAAUUCCGUUAACGAACGAGACCUCGGCACUCCGAAUAGCGCGGCGGACGUCGCGGCCUCCGGGCCGUCUUCCGCACGAGCUUCUUAGAGGGACCGUCCCCCGCCGGGGAAGGAGGUGCGAGGCAACGACAGGUCUGUGAUGCCCUUAGAUGUUCUGGGCCGCACGCGCAUUACACUGACGCGUCCAACGGGUGACUCCCGACCCGAAGGGGCCGGGGAAUCCGCAAGGCGCGUCGUGAUGGGGAUUGAACGUUGCAAUUGUUGUUCACGAACGAGGAAUUCCUAGUAGGCGCGGGUCAUCAACCCGCGCCGAUUACGUCCCUG
rnacentral:rRNA from 1 species